rnacentral:lncRNA from 1 species
UCAAUUUCUUAUUCUAGAACAUUGAACAUGUCUGCAUUUAUUGCAUUGUUAUUCAUAGCCGUAACGGUAGUCCAAGUUUGUUCUCUGCCAUGUCUAUCAGACAAAUCUAAGAAGAUAUUUGAGAAAACAAAAAAGACAUUGGAUGGUCUUAAAAAGGAACUAGAGAGUAAGUACAUUUAUAAAAUUCCGUCUAAUUUAUAAAUUUUUAAACCAUGUCUAAAAGCAAAUUCAUUUAUUCCCAAUAGAAAUACUAUGAUUGUAAAUGCAUAAAAUGCGAAUAGUACAUCAUUAUAGUUUGCUUAAGAACAAAAGAAAAUCAAACGGCAAAAUUAAUGCUUUCAUAAUUAGUAUUGUCCCCUUAAAUUAAACGAUUCUUUUUUUCCCAUGUCUUGAACAUUUUCAUUAUUUCCUCUAUUUUACAACCCCAAUUUAAUUUUUUGCAUUCAUCUUUUUCAUGUCCAAAAAACACCCGUAAUGCUUUUUUUUAAAUAGGUGUAUCUCCCCAAUUAAUCCCCGCAAUUGUAUCUUUACAAGAUUUCAAUUGCCCGAUCCAUACUCCUUUUGUUUUAUUUCUUAUAGUCCUGAAAAUGAACCAAAAAUUACUAUUAUAUGCAUUGCAGAUAUUACAUCGUUUUUAUCUUUACAAAAUAAUGUUGUGUCAUCUGCUAGUUGUGAAAUUUUAAUGCUGUGACUUUACCCAUCUAAUAAAAUAGUGAUUCAUUUUACUUCGUUGCUAUUCCUCAACUUAAGAGCCAUGAUUUCAACAGCAAAAAACAAACAAUAACGCUGAUAAAGGACAGCCUUUUCGGAUUCCCCGUGAAUUUUUGAAAUUUUUUGAUACCCACCCAUUGUUCAUAACACAUGUUUAAACAUCUGUAUACAUAGUUUUAACCCACUUAAUGAAUGAUUCAUUAAACCCAAAAUGUUUCAAAGUUCCAAGCAUAAAAUCACAUUCUAAAGAAUCAUAUGCUUUUGUAAAAUCAACAAAAACAAUUGCUUCCUUUUGUAUGUUUCUGCGUAGUCUAUUACAUCUUGGAUUUGUCUCAGAUUAAACCCAACUAAAAUGUUCUUUUAACGCACGAGCAAAUAAGUCUCUAUCAGCAAGAUGUGUUUUCCAAGAAAGUGAUGAUAAGGGAAACAAUCAAAACAAUUACUGACGCAUUUGCAAUUUAACCAUUUAGAUGCAUUUUAAUAAAGGCACUGAUUGAUGAUCAUACAUCUUGUGAUCUUGAGAUCAUUAGUCUCUUGGUAGCGUUUUCUCCACGAGUGCUGGAGGUCGUCAGAACAAUAUGUCUUUCUAUGGACUGUUACCUUGUACACUAGCACAUUAAAGUACCGACUCAACGUGUCCGUCUAGCAAAAUGCAGGAUUUAUAUUAAUAUUACAUUAGCAUGAACUAAUUUCCCACGGACAUUAAACAGAAAUUUACCCAUUUGAUCUUGUAUCUAUUAAAGGUAGGAUGGUUGUGUAUGUGUAUUCCUUUUCGUUACUUUAAUGACAAACAUUUGGGUCAAUAACAAACAAGAAUGAAAUUUAUAUGUGUUUAUUCUUUACAUGUUGUUAGUAUCUUUUUUUUUUUUUAACUUUUUUCAGUACAAACAAAAUAAAUUUUCAAAUUCCUUUAUAGGAUUUUUUAAAAUGAUUAACUAUUUAACAUUUAUUUAUUUUUUCAAAUCGAUUCCUCCAUAAAGAUGUUUUUUUUUCUUUAGAAAUUACAAGAAUUUUAUCAGUUGCAUGUAGAUCAUUGAAAUGUAAUUGGUAUUACUUAUCGUUCUCUUAUUUCUAAUGUAUUAGCAGCCCUACACUGCUUUGAAUUUUUAAAAUGAAAUUCGUAAUAUGGAAAACGAGGUGUACAUAGACAAUAAUAGUGCAUUGUCUUGACAUAUCAACGAUAUAAGGAUGAGGCUUAGAAACGGGGAAAUGCAAGGCUCUGUCGAGCUUUUUCCCCGUUUCGGGCCGAAUCCUUAUAUCGUUGAUAUGUCAAGUCAAUGCACUAUUAUUGUCUUUAUAAUGCACUCUAAAAAACAUUUUCAAUUGUUGUUUAUUGUGUUAAUGUAAUUUAUUUGAUUUAAAUAUUGGGGAAAAUCACCCUUUAAAAAGGCCUCAUAUCACACAGGCGGAGAAAUAUACAACACGAUGAAAUGUAUAUCAUUAUCUGUGGAAAACAGUGGUGAACGAAAUUCGUUUGUUUAUAGACUAAAAUAUCAACAAUAAACAUAAAACAUAAUGAUUUAUAGGUUGCAAACAAAAAAUAUUAACAAGUGAAAUAUGUUUUUCAAAAUUAUAGAAGAAACAAGAUUGAGUCGUUAAACGCAUCGUUGUUUACAUUGGAAACAAGAACAGGUUGAAGAGUUCGUAUGAAUAAUUAAAUAUAAUUUCGACAAUUUCUAUUUAAAUAUUCAUGAGGAAUAGCAUGUCAGUGACUGAAUAUGACAUAGAUAUAUACGGUCAAUGCAUUUUGACUGCUCAAAUAGAACGAGUGCAGUAUAAAUGUAUAUAUAAGAAUGUAAUACACAGGCAAUCUGUUUACAACCUCAAUCACUUAUUUUACACAAUCAUAUUUUAUUUUUGUGUGCCUAAAUUGAUUAUAGAAAGUAAUUAUAUGAUUUCGACAAUCUCUGUUUCUUGGGAAUACAUAAUUAGAUAUAUGUUUAUUUCCAAUUACAACUCCAAGAAUUAUUAUAUAGUAUAAAGUCAGAUAUGCAAAACAAAUUAAAAAAGUACAAGAACAAGAAAAUAGUGUAAGAAUAUUGUUUUGUUUAUAAAUUGACAGAGAAAGAAUGGAAAACGUACAAAGAUCAUUGUUAUUAUCUUGGAGGAGAUGCUGAAACUUGGUUCACCGCAGAGGUAUGUUAAUGGCUUUGCUCAUGUGAUACAUGCUAAUAAGUGUAGUUUACUAGCAUUUAAUUUUCAUUCAGUAGUCGAAAAGGGUAAAGUUUAAUUUCUCGGUAGUCUUUUCCAUUAAAAGUAGGCGAAACGUUAAUGCAAGAGGAAGCUAGUUUAUUAUAUAUAGCAUGUGUGGCUUGAUAAAUGCUUCAUAGAUAUAGGAAGAUGUGGUAUGAGUGCCAAUGAGACAACUCUCCAUCCAGAUAACAAUUUAUAAAAGUAAACCAUUGUAGGCCAAGGUACGGCCUUCAACACGGAACCUUGGAUCGCACCGAACAGCAAGCUAUAAAGGGCCCCAAAAAUUAGUGAUGUAAAACCAUUCAAACGGGAAAACCAACGGUCUUUUAUCUAUAUAAAAACGAGAAACACGUAUGCACUACAUAAACAGACGACAACUACUGUUCUUGACAGAAUUAUACUUACAGACGAGAAAACCAGUUCAGUCUUUAUGUACGCGAGGGAACAAACGAGACGAAACGUGCUGCAGCAUGGUUUAUUUGUGUGCUCUUGGGUAUGAGUGAGAAUUGAAGAACAUGUAAUGCCUGCGCGAAUGAAAUAAUGUGAGAAUUCUACCUAACAUGCUGAUCUGAAAUCUGCUUAUGUGUAGUCUAAAAUUGAAACGAUUGGCAUAAUUCAACCGUACGUUCUGAUAUGUGGUUGUACAAGGAAUUUUCAAUGUAGUAUCGGAAUAUACGAUAGUAUUUUUAGUCAUUUGUCAUCAUUUCUUUGUAAGCAAGAGAUUCUAUUUAAAAAACUACGUCUUUAUUUUCUACAUUUAUGUUUUAUAUUUGAAUAAUUGUAUCAUUUUGUGUUUUAUCUUCAAAGACAUCAGAGAUGUUGUGUCGGCUUAGAUUUUUUGCUUAGUAACAAUCUUUGUUUGAUUGCAGAAAAAAUGUCGUCAAAUAGGUGGAUAUCUUGUUAAAAUUGACGACUCUUCAGAAAAUAUAUGGUUAAAAACACAGUUCAGUAAGGGUGAGUCUUGAUAUUAAUAAAAAAAAAAUAUAUAGUCAUAUUGCAAGUUUCUAAAGUCAAACUACAUGUUAUAAAAAAGAUAACAAGAUAUAUUUUGCUUCAAUAGGCUACUAAGGAAAAAAUAUCAAAGGGUAAAUAAAUACAUAUUCAUGAGUUAUAUUUUCAAAUUGGGGACUCGAGCAUCACUGAAAGGACAAUUGCUGAAAUGUGCAUCUAUGGUGCAGAAAAAUGUAUUAUUAUAAAAAAAACUGUUUUGUCAAAUAUGCCUCUCUCUUGCCUUUUUUCAAAUUUUUUUACGCAUUAGUACAGGAAGUUCAAAUAAAUGUUGAUACAUGUAUAUUGGCAACUAUGUGUUUUAUUGUUAGAAAUCAACAAGCGAUCUAUGGAAUUCGAUUUUAUUCAAAAGAUUUCAUUUUUUUUAAUUCAGAACAAAUUAUAGAUUGACUUUUGGAUUUGAACUUUUAAGGAAACCACUACUGGAUUGGUCUGACCGAUCUUCACGAGGGAAACUUCAGGUGGUCUUAUGAUCAGGAAAAAGCUAAAUUUACAUCAUGGGGCAGCGGUGAACCAGGCAACCGUGGUGGAAACGAGGAUUGUGCAGGUCAUUUCGCUCACUCAGAUAAAUGGUUUGACGCACGAUGCGUUACCAAGUACAACUGGAUAUGUGAAAGAAACUUCUGUAAAUGUUAUUUAGUUAAAGUUUACCACAUACAUGCACGUACACAUGUAGUACAAUGUAAAGCACAUCACAAUUAAAGGGAUCGCUUUUGUUGGUAAUGCACUAUCACAACACGAUGAGAGAAAAAAGUGUCAAUUAUAUGAUAUAACGAACACGUUCUAUGUUUAAACUUCGUAAAAGAAAGUAACGCUAAUGCUUUAUACAACUUUAAUCACUGAAUCAAGUUUAUGAACAAUUUGAAAAGAUAUAUUUAAACCGUGAUCGAUUAAAAAAAUCUACACGGUGUAAAACAAAACAGAUACAGAAGGUGACAACCAUUAAAACUUUACUGAUUAUUGAAGGUCGUACGGUGACUCAUAGUUGUUAAUGUAUAUGUCAUUUGGUCUCUUGUGAAUAGUUGUCUCUCUGGCAAUCAUACCACAUCUUUUUAUUAUAAGGUUUUUUCCUUUUGUUGUCUUUGGGCAAAUAUUCAGACUAUAGGGCACAAUUAACAAUAGGUUGUCGUAUGGUGAUAAAUAUUAUGACAGGUAACGUAAGCUCUAAAACUAGGACAUUGAUCAUAAAACUGUUUUCAAAUGGUUAACUCAGGAAUUUGAAAUAAAGUUUAAAAGACUUCACUUGAUAUUCACCAUUUAAUUCAUUAAGUAUAAGAACUUAAUUUAAGUUUAAUAAUACCAAUUGCACGUGUUUUAAAACGAAAAUAAAAAACAGCUUGAACAAUGGUAUUAAUUAAGCUAUCAUACUGAAAUUUCUUAUAUACAUAUUUGUGUUUUCAGGCAACUAGAUCAAAGACUAAACGCAUAUGAGGUUGAUUGACAAAGAUAUUAAAACUUGAAUAAAAUGCAAUUAUUUCAUCAAUAUAUAUCUUAGAUAUUGGAACAAAAAGAUUUCAGUAUGUCCUUAUGAAAAUAUAACUACAAAAAUAAAAAUACUAGAGCAC